UAGAUACCCCACUAUACCUUGCCGUAAACUUUAACUUACACCCCUAAAAUCGCCAGGGAACUACGAGCUAAGCUUAAAACCCAAAGGACUUGACGGUGCCCCAUAUCCCCCUAGAGGAGCCUGUCCUAUAACCGAUGACCCCCGUUUAACCUCACCACUUCUAGAAGAUCAGCUUGUAUACUUCCGUCCCCAGCUUACCACGUGAGCGAAAUUCAGUUAGCUCAACUGGCCUAAUUGUUUAUCAACCCCGCCAAUACGUCAGGUCGAAGUGCAGCAAAUGGAGUGGAAAGAGAUUGGCUACACUUUUUAAUCUAAAAUAAACGAAAGACAGAUAAUGAAACUUUGUCAGAAGGUGGAUUUAGCAGUAAAAAGAAUUCAUUAAAUUCAUUUUAAGUAGGCACUGGAGCGUGUACAAACCGCCCGUCACCCUCUUCGACAAAUUAUCAUAGUAUUUAACAAACUACCUACUACCAGAGAAGAGGUAAGUCGUAACAUGGUAAGUAUACCGGAAGGUGUACUUGGAAACAAAACAGUAGCUUAAAUAAAGCAUCUUGCUUACACCAAGAAUAUGUUCAUAACAGAACCAUUUUGAAUAGCCAAUAACCUAGCCCAAUAAUCCUGUAACUUAAUAACUUUUUCUAACUAAAAUAUUACACACAAUCUAGUAAAGACGAUUAAAAAAUUAAUUGGAGCUAUAAAUAAGUACCGCAAGGGA
rnacentral:rRNA from 1 species